rnacentral:rRNA from 1 species
GACGAACGCUGGCGGCGUGCCUAAUACAUGCAAGUUGAGCGCUGAAGGUUGGUACUUGUACCGACUGGAUGAGCAGCGAACGGGUGAGUAACGCGUGGGGAAUCUGCCUUUGAGCGGGGGACAACAUUUGGAAACGAAUGCUAAUACCGCAUAAAAACUUUAAACACAAGUUUUAAGUUUGAAAGAUGCAAUUGCAUCACUCAAAGAUGAUCCCGCGUUGUAUUAGCUAGUUGGUGAGGUAAAGGCUCACCAAGGCGAAGAUACAUAGCCGACCUGAGAGGGUGGUCGGCCAAAUUGGGACUGAGACACGGCCCAAACUCCUACGGGAGGCAGCAGGAGGGAAUCUUCGGCAAUGGACGAAAGUCUGACCGAGCAACGCCGCGUGGGUGAAGAAGGGUUUCGGAUCGUAAAACUCUGUUGGUAGAGGAGAACGUUGGUGAGAGUGGAAAGCUCAUCAAGUGACGGUAACUACCCAGAAAGGGACGGCUAACUACGUG